rnacentral:lncRNA from 1 species
AUGGAUAACCUAAAGGAUGAGAACAAAAUUCUCCAAGAGGUGCUAAGACGAUGUACAAUACAAUUGGAGUCAGCUACAAUCAAGCUUGAGGCUGUCAAAAAGGAAAAAGAGCAAAAGGAAAAAGAGAGAGAUUCACCUGCAAGGAAGUCCUGUGCUGCUGUGAAGAUGAUACCACAGAAGGUAGAAAAGGUGAGUAGACUGAAGGAUGCCAAAGAGGUGAGGAAGAAAGACAGUUCUAAAUAAAAACUCUGUUAUCUGAUCAACCAUACUGUUUCAAGACCUAUCACCUGCCCAUAAAUAACUAGUCCAAAAUGCUAUGACCAACCUCACUUCUAGCAUUGCUGCUCAUUAUUCAAACAUGGCAAUCCUCCUAAAGUUAGGAUUACCUUUCACAUUAAAAUCAAUGAGUCCAAAGUCAAUAAUUUCCCCAGGAAUAGAGAAUGAUAUUACAUCAUAACCUUUUCUAUCAUAUUAACAUCCCUGGCUAACAUAAGAAAUUAAAUGAUAAUUUUAGUAAUUUUGGCUAUAACCACACACAGCAUGCCAACUCCAAGAAAUGAAAUAGAAGAAAUUCGGAAAUGCAUAAAAUAAAUGAAUACAUUCAAAUAAUAAUAACA